rnacentral:rRNA from 1 species
UGGGGAAUAUUGGACAAUGGGCGGAAGCCUGAUCCAGCCAUGCCGCGUGUGUGAAGAAGGCCUUUCGGUUGUAAAGCACUUUAAGCGAGGAGGUGGCUACUUGGAUUAAUACUCUAGGAUAGUGGACGUUACUCGCAGAAUAAGCACCGGCUAACUCUGUGCCAGCAGCCGCGGUAAUACAGAGGGUGCGAGCGUUAAUCGGAUUUACUGGGCGUAAAGCGUGCGUAGGCGGCUUCUUAAGUCGGAUGUGAAAUCCCUGAGCUUAACUUAGGAAUUGCAUUCGAUACUGGGAAGCUAGAGUAUGGGAGAGGAUGGUAGAAUUCCAGGUGUAGCGGUGAAAUGCGUAGAGAUCUGGAGGAAUACCGAUGGCGAAGGCAGCCAUCUGGCCUAAUACUGACGCUGAGGUACGAAAGCAUGGGGAGCAAACAGG